rnacentral:rRNA from 1 species
GAUGAACGCUAGCGGGAGGCCUAACACAUGCAAGCCGAGCGGUAUUGUUUCUUCGGAAAUGAGAGAGCGGCGUACGGGUGCGUAACACGUGUGCAACCUGCCUUUAUCUGGGGGAUAGCCUUUCGAAAGGAAGAUUAAUACUCCAUAAUAUAUUGAACGGCAUCGUUUAAUAUUGAAAGCUCCGGCGGAUAGAGAUGGGCACGCGCAAGAUUAGCUAGUUGGUGAGGUAACGGCUCACCAAGGCGAUGAUCUUUAGGGGGCCUGAGAGGGUGAUCCCCCACACUGGUACUGAGACACGGACCAGACUCCUACGGGAGACAGCAGUGAGGAAUAUUGGUCAAUGGGUGCAAGCCUGAACCAGCCAUCCCGCGGGAAGGACGACUGUCCUAUGGGUUGUAAACUUCGUUUGUAUAGGGAUAAACCUACCCUCGAGAGGGUAGCUGAAGGUACUAUACGAAUAAGCACCGGCUAACUCCGU